rnacentral:rRNA from 1 species
GACGAACGCUGGCGGCGUGCUUAACACAUGCAAGUCGAACGAAGAGCGAUGGAAGCUUGCUUCUAUCAAUCUUAGUGGCGAACGGGUGAGUAACGCGUAAUCAACCUGCCCUUCAGAGGGGGACAACAGUUGGAAACGACUGCUAAUACCGCAUACGAUCUAAUCUCGGCAUCGAGGAAAGAUGAAAGGUGGCCUCUAUUUAUAAGCUAUCACUGAAGGAGGGGAUUGCGUCUGAUUAGCUAGUUGGAGGGGUAACGGCCCACCAAGGCGAUGAUCAGUAGGGGGUCGGAGAGGAGAGAAGACGAAAGUGGGAGAGGAGCAGGCCCAAGAGCACGAGGGGGGAAAGAAGGGGGGAACAGUCCGAAGGGAAAGAAAGGAAGAGGGAGAAGCGCGGGGGGAGGAAGGAGGGCUGUGGGGUUAAAAAGAUUGGUUAAUGGGAAAGAAAGAGUUUUUGGCGAAAAAGUAGAAGGAUGGACGGUACGGGAAUAGAAAGCAACGGCAAACUACGUG